rnacentral:rRNA from 1 species
GAUGAACGCUGGCGGCGUGCCUAAUACAUGCCAGUCGAGCGAACGGACGAGAAGCUUGCUUCUCUGAUGUUAGCGGCGGACGGGUGAGUAACACGUGGAUAACCUACCUAUAAGACUGGGAUAACUUCGGGAAACCGGAGCUAAUACCGGAUAAUAUUUUGAACCGCAUGGUUCAAAAGUGAAAGACGGUCUUGCUGUCACUUAUAGAUGGAUCCGCGCUGCAUUAGCUAGGUGGUAAGGUAACGGCUUACCAAGGCAACGAUGCAUAGCCGACCUGAGAGGGUGAUCGGCCACCCUGGAACUGAGACACGGUCCAGACUCCUACGGGAGGCAGCAGUAGGGAAUCUUCCGCAAUGGGCGAAAGCAUGACGGAGCAACGCCGCGUGAGUGAUGAAGGUCUUCGGAUCGUAAAACUCUGUUAUUAGGGAAGAACAUAUGUGUAAGUAACUGUGCACAUCUUGACGGUACCUAAUCAGAAAGCCACGGCUAACUACGUG